GGUGCGAUGAAGUCAUCCCUGGCGCAAACACGGCUGCCGCUGCCAUGACGCCGCUUCGUCUCAUAUGAGAGCGCGGCGAAGUCUAGGAUAUUGAGGAAGAGCAGCGAGGCGCCCACCGCUCAGUUCAAUCGUUUGAGUAGUCGCGCUCAGCCUCGAUAGGCCUCGUGACGUCUUCAGGACUCGCUCUCCCAGGGUCCUUCGCGGCUCCGGGAUUGGCGUUUCCGGUUCCUGAAGCCGCUAUUUCAGCUUCCAAAUGAAAGUGUUUCCGCCUCCACUGCUACUGUUUCCGGCUCCCGCGGUUGCGACGGCGGAAGUCACGGAAGGAAUUCAGUGGUUGGCGAGAGCUCCGACGGAGAUCGACGACUUCCGGUGUCGCCACCGCCGUCAGGGCGUCGUGUGUGGGGGCAGGCCCUCGGUGGCGAGGUCGCGGCGUACAAGUAAAGAUGGUUGUUAGGGGAGAGUGUAUGUAGCAGGAUGUUACAGCUGGUUGGUACCAUUUGUGCGUGUCUGAAUGCUGGCGAGGCUGUUUUAGCACAGCAGCUGGAAGGGGCAUAUCUGUAGGAUCUUGACUCCUACUGCUGUGUGAUUCAGGGGAGGCAUCCUGAACUGACACCUUGUAAUGUAUGUGGACAUAAAUAUGUGCGUGUGGGGGUAAAGAAUACCGUCAGAUAAGGCCUGGUAUCUAAAUGUAUAUGUGGUAUGUGUGCUUGCAAGUUUCCAUAGGGCCUAAAACCUAGCAUUGUUGUGGUGUGUGGGAUGUUAGGCAGCAGGAGGAUGGUGGGUUCUGCGUGGGUUGAUAUCUAGCAGUGAAUGUGGAAAUCCACGAAGUCCCCGCAAAAGCCGACAGGGAGACUGAGUCCCAUAUGUAAAAGCAAAGAGCCUUUAUUUCAAGCAAGUUUCCAAACUCGGUCUCUUCGCAUGGCAUGUCCAGCAUAUUGGAAUAAUCGGAGAGCCCCUGUAGGGAUAAGUCCCACCCCUUAGGGUGCGUGUUCGCCUCAGGCUAAAGUUUGCCUAUAAAUUUGGCAAGUGUGCUCCCAGCACUCGCUUCUGCUUUCCUGGUCUCCGCGGGAACGGUAGUUCUCCCCUUCUGGACCGACCAUGUUUUCUACCUUGAUUUCCCUGGGGUGCCUGUGACAAAAUAAGCAGAUAUGAUGUAGGACUCCACUCUGAAGAACAAGAAGUCAAAGGAGACAGGAAUGGCCAGUUCAGAGAAACCCCUGUGGAAAGGAGAGUGCCAGAGAGACAAGUACAUGGCAUGUGUUUACAGACAGAGUAAGAAUGACCUGAGCUUUGUGGUCUAAGAAACCCACUGCAGACACUGGGCACAGGGGUCAGUGUUCAUCCCUUUAGUUCAUCCCUUAGUACUUGUUGAGUAUCAGCUGUGUGCCAGGGUCUUUCCCAGAUGCCGGAUGCUCAAACUCCUUCCUGACCCCUGUUCUGUUCCAUCCUCACAUGUUUAUACCCCAAGGAUUUUGUCCUUAGCUGCCUCAGCAGUCUGUUCAGAUUCUGCUGUCUAGAACACAGACAAGCACAGCCAGCUUUCUACUAAUUGACAUCUGUCAGCACUACCCACAGGGACCUUGGGCCAACAGCUCAAAUCCCGACUUUUCUCCUCAUGUUCACACUGUCGUAUCUUCCUGUCACCAGAUGGAAACAUUUGGAAUCACUUCGACUUUUCUCUCCCAGGAAAUCCAGUUGCCAACCCAAACCAACCACCAAAUGCUUUACAUCUAGGUCAUACAUGUAAGGACCUAAGUGAAUCAAAGGCUUCACUGCUGAGAAGUAGCCAUGAUACUUAGAAACAAAGGCUUAGAGUUGAGUGUGGAACACAGCUGUAAUCUCAGUACUUGGGAAGCUGAGGCAAGAGGAUCACAAGUUUGAGGGCAGCCUGAGCUAUGCAGUAAGACCACAUCUUUAAAGGAAAAUGAGCUUUUUUUAAGUUUGGGCUCUAUCAUCAUUACCCUGGUGAAUGUAUUUAAUUGUUUCUCAGGCUCCAUGUCAACAGGGUAAAAUACUUCCAACAGUUUGAUAAUUGUUGCUUCUCCCAAUAACCUACAGAGAAAUAAAUUCUUUUCUCAAUUAUGCAGUGACAUGAGUCUUACCAUCUGUCCCAUGAUUCUGUGAGCAUUGAAAAUUCAAAUUAAACAGUGUAAACAGACACAUGACUUGAAAAUUUAUCCUGGGUAGCCAUUGGGGAUAUGGGUCCUGGCUUGAAGGAAGUAGGUGAGCCUUGAAGGUUACAUUACUCCUGGCUCUAGACUGUUCUUUCUGCCUCCUGAUUGGGGCCAUUAGGAACAAGCACAAUGCUUGUUCUCUCUGUUAAGGACAAAGCAUUCUAGCCUCCAUGUCCUUCCCAUUAUGAUGAACUGCUAUUAGCCUUUUCUGUCUUAGACUUAUUAUUUCCACGUAUCUUUGUUAAAAUGAUGAAAAAAGUAACAGUCUGAGACAAUCUCCAGUCCUUUUUUAAUUAAAAUAUUUUUAAAUAUUUAUUUUUUUUUCUUUAUGUGUAUGAGUGUUUUGCCUACAUGUGUGCCUAUGCAUUACCUUGAGUCCUCAGAGGUCAGAAAGGGGCAUUGGAUCCCCUGGACCUGGGGUUACAGAUGGUUCUAAGCCACCAUAUGAUGAUAGGAACUGAAUUCAGGUCCUCUGUAAGUGCUCUUAAGAGUGGCUCCAUCUUUCCUGAAAAACUUAAUAUUUUUUAAACCUCUAAGCCUUUGAUAAUAUCUCUCUAUUGGAAAAAGAUCUGAAGCGUUCAUCUAAUUAAUCUUUUUUUUUUUUUUUUUUUUUUUUUGGUU